CUAUCAGAGACCAGGAUGUUCUGGUGGGAUUUGUUGGAAUUCCUCACAUCAAGCUUGGUGUUCUUUUCUACAACAUUUAAAGUUCAAAGGAUGUUAGAUAUAGAGCAGAGGCAACCAUCUUACAAAUAAGAAGGUUUGUGACAUGAAAUCAGACAUUCUGGUCUUACCCCAGUCUUUUUUGAUGUCCAAGAGGAUGCAAAACAAUGUCUUAUCUGAGAAGCAUCAAAUCCUAAUGCUCCUUCCCCUCAGAACACCAUACUCGUUGGUUAUCAGUAUUUAUUUCCUCUCUAUUUUUUUCCUUUCCUGCACGAAGUCAUUCCUACUUUUUUCCCAUCAGACUAUGCCUCUACUCUUUGGAUUGCUAACAAGAUUGUCCUUAUAACCGCAGAAUUUUAGAAUUAGAAUGAAUUUCAGAAACCAUACGGUACCACCCCAGCUCGUUUUUACAAGCCGGAAAACUGAGGCAAUGUGCCAUGCUCUCUGACGUAUCUGGGGACACAUGAGGAUUGAGAAGCAGAAGACUAAGAAGCCAUUUUUUUUUUUCUUUUAAAGGCAGUCUCUCCUGAAAACCCUCAUUUAAAAAAAAUAAGUAUAAUAACUGGACGGAGAAGGAACUUUGGGCUUUUUAGCUCCGUCUAUUGGCUGACUAACCAUGAAACCAGACAGAGUAGGAUUCAGUCAAGGGUAGAAGAAACAAGACACAGAACUGAUGUUCAGGAAUUAUUCUGUUAAAAGCCGCCUUUAUU